GACGAACGCUGGCGGCGUGCCUAAUACAUGCAAGUAGAACGCUGAAGGAGGAGCUUGCUUCUCCGGAUGAGUUGCGAACGGGUGAGUAACGCGUAGGUAACCUGCCUGGUAGCGGGGGAUAACUAUUGGAAACGAUAGCUAAUACCGCAUAACAGUAGAUGUUGCAUGAUAUCUGCUUGAAAGGUGCAAUUGCAUCACUACCAGAUGGACCUGCGUUGUAUUAGCUAGUUGGUGAGGUAACGGCUUACCAAGGCGACGAUACAUAGCCGACCUGAGAGGGUGAUCGGCCACACUGGGACUGAGACACGGCCCAGACUCCUACGGGAGGCAGCAGUAGGGAAUCUUCGGCAAUGGACGGAAGUCUGACCGAGCAACGCCGCGUGAGUGAAGAAGGUUUUCGGAUCGUAAAGCUCUGUUGUAAGAGAAGAACGAGUGUGAGAGUGGAAAGUUCACACUGUGACGGUAUCUUACCAGAAAGGGACGGCUAACUACGUGCCAGCAGCCGCGGUAAUACGUAGGUCCCGAGCGUUGUCCGGAUUUAUUGGGCGUAAAGCGAGCGCAGGCGGUUAGAUAAGUCUGAAGUUAAGGCUGUGGCUUAACCAUAGUACGCUUUGGAAACUGUUUAACUUGAGUGCAAGAGGGGAGAGUGGAAUUCCAUGUGUAGCGGUGAAAUGCGUAGAUAUAUGGAGGAACACCGGUGGCGAAAGCGGCUCUCUGGCUUGUAACUGACGCUGAGGCUCGAAAGCGUGGGGAGCAAACAGGAUUAGAUACCCUGGUAGUCCACGCCGUAAACGAUGAGUGCUAGGUGUUAGACCCUUUCCGGGGUUUAGUGCCGUAGCUAACGCAUUAAGCACUCCGCCUGGGGAGUACGACCGCAAGGUUGAAACUCAAAGGAAUUGACGGGGGCCCGCACAAGCGGUGGAGCAUGUGGUUUAAUUCGAAGCAACGCGAAGAACCUUACCAGGUCUUGACAUCCCUCUGAGCGCUCUAGAGAUAGAGUUUUCCUUCGGGACAGAGGUGACAGGUGGUGCAUGGUUGUCGUCAGCUCGUGUCGUGAGAUGUUGGGUUGAGUCCCGCAACGAGCGCAACCCCUAUUGUUAGUUGCCAUCAUUUAGUUGGGCACUCUAGCGAGACUGCCGGUAAUAAACCGGAGGAAGGUGGGGAUGACGUCAAAUCAUCAUGCCCCUUAUGACCUGGGCUACACACGUGCUACAAUGGCUGGUACAACGAGUCGCAAGUCGGUGACGGCAAGCUAAUCUCUUAAAGCCAGUCUCAGUUCGGAUUGUAGGCUGCAACUCGCCUACAUGAAGUCGGAAUCGCUAGUAAUCGCGGAUCAGCACGCCGCGGUGAAUACGUUCCCGGGCCU
rnacentral:rRNA from 1 species